rnacentral:rRNA from 1 species
GUGGGGAAUCUUGCGCAAUGGGCGAAAGCCUGACGCAGCCAUGCCGCGUGAAUGAUGAAGGUCUUAGGAUUGUAAAAUUCUUUCACCGGGGACGAUAAUGACGGUACCCGGAGAAGAAGCUCCGGCUAACUUCGUGCCAGCAGCCGCGGUAAUACGAAGGGGGCUAGCGUUGCUCGGAAUUACUGGGCGUAAAGGGCGCGUAGGCGGACAGCUUAGUCAGAGGUGAAAGCACAGGGCUCAACCUUGGAAUUGCCUUUGAUACUGGCUGUCUUGAGUUUGGGAGAGGUGAGUGGAACUCCGAGUGUAGAGGUGAAAUUCGUAGAUAUUCGGAAGAACACCAGUGGCGAAGGCGACUCACUGGCCCAAUACUGACGCUGAGGCGCGAAAGCGUGGGGAGCAAACAGGAUUAGAAACCCCUGUAGUCC